rnacentral:rRNA from 1 species
GAUGAACGCUGGCGGCGUGCCUAAUACAUGCUAGUCGAGCGAACAGACGAGGAGCUUGCUCCUCUGACGUUAGCGGCGGACGGGUGAGUAACACGUGGAUAACCUACCUAUAAGACUGGGAUAACUUCGGGAAACCGGAGCUAAUACCGGAUAAUAUAUUGAACCGCAUGGUUCAAUAGUGAAAGACGGUUUUGCUGUCACUUAUAGAUGGAUCCGCGCCGCAUUAGCUAGUUGGUAAGGUAACGGCUUACCAAGGCAACGAUGCGUAGCCGACCUGAGCGGGCGGUCGCCGACACUGGAACUAAUACACGGUCCAGACACCUCAGGGAGCCAGCAGUAGAGAAUCUUACGCAAUGGGCGAACGCUUGACGGAGCAACGCCGCGUCAGUGAUGAAGGUCUACGGAUCGUAAACCUCUGUUCUUAGGGAAGAACAAAUGUGUCAGUAACUAUGCACCUCUUGACGGUACCUGAUCAGCAAGCCACGGCUAACUACGUG